ensembl:lncRNA
AGUUGUGUACGUGUGUCUUCCUUCCUUUCCAAUGUGGAUUUACCCCAUGUGUUGGAUUUAAUAAAUGACAGUUUCGUUUAUCCACGGCUCCUUCAUUCCCUCCGAGGCACCCAUACGAAGGAUGAUUGUGGGCCAGGGGUCGACGUUGAAUCAGAUUGGGAUGGAAUGCUCCUGAGAUCAGAGAACAGAGGACAGAGAAGGAGGGGCUGUACCAGGUCAAACUCCAUCAGUUAUUCCCAUCACUACCAUGCCCUUAACAUUUCUAUGUUUAACAAGGAUUUAGAGGAGGAUUCUGUCUGUCAAAGCACAAGAUCAGGAC